rnacentral:rRNA from 1 species
UACGUAGGGGGCAAGCGUUGUCCGGAAUUAUUGGGCGUAAAGGGCUCGUAGGCGGUUUGUCACGUCGGGAGUGAAAACUCGGGGCUUAACCCCGAGCCUGCUUCCGAUACGGGCUGACUAGAGGUAUGCAGGGGAGAACGGAAUUCCUGGUGUAGCGGUGAAAUGCGCAGAUAUCAGGAGGAACACCGGUGGCGAAGGCGGUUCUCUGGGCAUUACCUGACGCUGAGGAGCGAAAGUGUGGGGAGCGAACAGG